GGGGAUGUGGUGCAGUGGUAGCACGUUCGCUUUGCAUGCGAAAGGCCCUGGGAUCAAACCCCAGCAUCUCCA